rnacentral:rRNA from 1 species
AGAGUUUGAUCCUGGCUCAGGAUGAACGCUAGCUACAGGCUUAACACAUGCAAGUCGAGGGGUAGCAGGGUAGCAAUACCGCUGACGACCGGCGCACGGGUGAGUAACACGUAUCCAACCUUCCCAUAACUCAGGGAUAGCCUUUCGAAAGAAAGAUUAAUACCUGAUAGUACUUUUUCAAGGCAUCUUGAGAAAGUUAAAGAUUUAUUGGUUAUGGAUGGGGAUGCGUUCCAUUAGAUAGUUGGUGAGGUAACGGCUCACCAAGUCUUCGAUGGAUAGGGGUUCUGAGAGGAAGGUCCCCCACAUUGGUACUGAGACACGGACCAAACUCCUACGGGAGGCAGCAGUGAGGAAUAUUGGUCAAUGGGCGAGAGCCUGAACCAGCCAAGUAGCGUGAAGGAUGAAGGUCCUAUGGAUUGUAAACUUCUUUUAUAGUAGAAUAAAGUGAUCCACGUGUGGAUUUUUGUAUGUAUACUAUGAAUAAGGAUCGGCUAACUCCGUGCCAGCAGCGGC